rnacentral:rRNA from 1 species
CAGUUCGGAUUGUAGUCUGCAACUCGACUACAUGAAGCUGGAAUCGCUAGUAAUCGCGAAUCAGAAUGUCGCGGUGAAUACGUUCCCGGGUCUUGUACACACCGCCCGUCACACCAUGGGAGUUGGGAAUGCCCGAAGCCGGUGACCUAACCGAAAGGGAGGAGCCGUCGAAGGCAGGCUUGAUAACUGGGGUGAAGUCGUAACAAGGUAUC